rnacentral:rRNA from 1 species
GAAAAAUUUUUCUUCCCCGGGGGAGAGAGCGCCCGCGCCUCCUAUUAUCUUUUGUGGGAGGAGUGGGGGUCUCCACCAAGGGGGGCGGGGGGGUUGCCCCUCCUUGAGAGGAGCCCCCCGCCCCCACGUGGGGUAGGGACACCGGCCCAGAUUCUUCUGCGGAGAGCCACCAGGGGGAAUUUUGGCCAAGGGCGGAACCCUGACCGAAGGAACCCCGGUGGGGAGAUGCGGCCUUCGGGGUUGUAAACCUCUUUCAGCCGGGACGAAGUUGACGGGUACCUGCAGAAGAAGCGCCGGGCUAACUACGUGCCAGCAGCCGCGGUAAUACGUAGGGCGCAAGCGUUGUCCGGAAUUAUUGGGCGUAAAGAGCUCGUAGGUGGCUGGUCGCGUCGGGUGUGAAAGCUUGGGGCUUAACCCCGAGUCUGCAUCCGAUACGGGCCGGCUAGAGGUAGGUAGGGGCAAGCGGAAUUCCUGGUGUAGCGGUGAAAUGCGCAGAUAUCAGGAGGAACACCGGUGGCGAAGGCGGCUUGCUGGGCCUUACCUGACGCUGAGGAGCGAAAGCGUGGGGAGCGAACAGGAUUAGAUACCCUGGUAGUCCACGCUGUAAACGUUGGGCGCUAGGUGUGGGGGCCUUCCACGGUUUCCGCGCCGUAGCUAACGCAUUAAGCGCCCCGCCUGGGGAGUACGGCCGCAAGGCUAAAACUCAAAGGAAUUGACGGGGGCCCGCACAAGCGGUGGAGCAUGUGGUUUAAUUCGACGCAACGCGAAGAACCUUACCUGGCCUUGACAUCCAGAGAACUUUCCAGAGAUGGAUUGGUGCCUUCGGGAACUCUGAGACAGGUGCUGCAUGGCCGUCGUCAGCUCGUGUCGUGAGAUGUUGGGUUAAGUCCCGUAACGAGCGCAACCCCUAUCCCUGGUUGCUAGCAGGUGAUGCUGAGAACUCCAGGGAGACUGCCGGUGACAAACCGGAGGAAGGUGGGGAUGACGUCAGGUCAUCAUGGCCCUUACGGCCAGGGCUACACACGUGCUACAAUGGCGCGUACAGAGGGCUGCCAACUCGCGAGAGUGAGCCAAUCCCUUAAAACGCGUCGUAGUCCGGAUCGGAGUCUGCAACUCGACUCCGUGAAGUCGGAAUCGCUAGUAAUCGCGAAUCAGAAUGUCGCGGUGAAUACGUUCCCGGGUCUUGUACACACCGCCCGUCACACCGUGGGAGUGGAUUGCACCAGAAGUAGUUAGUCUAACCUUCGGGAGGACGAUUACCACGGUGUGGUUCAUGACUGGGGUGAAGUCGUAACAAGGUAGCCGUCG